UUUCCUACGGGAGGCAGCAGUGGGGAAUUUUGGACAAUGGGGGCAACCCUGAUCCAGCCAUUCCGCGUGAGUGAAGAAGGCCUUCGGGUUGUAAAGCUCUUUCGGACGGAACGAAACGGUCAGGACCAAUACUUCUGACUAAUGACGGUACCGUAAGAAGAAGCACCGGCUAACUACGUGCCAGCAGCCGCGGUAAUACGUAGGGUGCGAGCGUUAAUCGGAAUUACUGGGCGUAAAGCGUGCGCAGGCGGUUAUUUAAGACAGGUGUGAAAUCCCCGGGCUUAACCUGGGAAUUGCGCUUGUGACUGGAUAGCUAGAGUGCGGCAGAGGGGGGUGGAAUUCCACGUGUAGCAGUGAAAUGCGUAGAGAUGUGGAGGAACACCGAUGGCGAAGGCAGCCCCCUGGGCCAGCACUGACGCUCAUGCACGAAAGCGUGGGGAGCAAACAGGAUUAGAUACCCCAGUAGUCUA
rnacentral:rRNA from 1 species